UCCAAGAUGCCGCGAACCUGGGGAACUGGGUGAAGAGACGCACCAGGAGACCAUAGCUCAGCAAGUAUGUCUCUUUGCUGCACUAAUUCUUGCCCAGAAGUAGCAGGGCCUCAGCUUGCUAUGCGGCUGCCAACAGUCUUUGGCUUUGAGAGAUAAAGAGCACAUUUAAUGCUUAGAUCCCCACCGUGCCCCCUCCCGCCCUCUCCCCCUCACCACACGAAACACCGCCACCAAGAAGACCCGCUUCCUGGGUGUCUCAAGGCCCAGCACUGUUCCCCUGUGGAGCCAGGCCAGGACUAGCCGUGCACUCCCCUGCCCGUAUGGGAGGUGACAAACUCUUGGUGACUUCACUCCCGCUCAUCCAGGAACAGAGAUUCUUUCCUUGAACUGUAAAUACCCUUAGCUGGGCCACGUCCUGAAGGAUGGCUGUUUGCACUUUCUGCCCCGGCAGAGAAGUGGAAGCCAGGAGAGCACAGAGCACCAGAAGGGCUCCCAGGCCCCGUGUACACGCCCACCUGUCGUGGCCCCUUGGCGUCUCCCAAAUGCCCGCCCCCUGCACCAGGCUCUGAGUUUCUGGGGGACGGGCUUUGUGUGUCUCCCUGUCUUAACACCUGUCACUGUGUCAGCACACGGCAGGUCCCACAAACAUGCAUAUUGGCAAUAAAUGGCUAAAAAAGUGCCUUUUACUCUUAACAGACUCGGUGCCAUAAAAACCAGGGCCCUGGGGACUGGUAGGCAAAUCAUGGCCUAUCCAACAAUGGAGUACCACACAGUUGUGCAAAAGAGUGAGGCAUGGUGUAGCUCAGUGGAUUGAGCACGGGCCUGUGAAGCAAAGGGUGGCUGGUUUGAUUCCCAGUCAGGGCACAUGCCUGGGUUUCAGGCCAGUUCCCAACAGGGGACACAUGAGAGGCAACCACACAUUGAUGUUUCUCUCCCACUCUUUCUCCUUCCC